UACGGAGGGGGCUAGCGUUGUUCGGAAUUACUGGGCGUAAAGCGCACGUAGGCGGCUUUGUAAGUUAGAGGUGAAAGCCCGGAGCUCAACUCCGGAACUGCCAUUGAAACUGUUUAGCUUGAGGAUGAGAGAGGUGAGUGGAAUUCCCAGUGUAGAGGUGAAAUUCGUAGAUAUUGGGAAGAACACCGGUGGCGAAGGCGGCUCACUGGCUCAUUACUGACGCUCAGGCGCGAUAGCGUGGGGAUCAAACAGG
rnacentral:rRNA from 1 species